UUUUUUUUUUUUAAAUGUCUUUUUGUCACUUCUAGCUGGACCUACCAUGAAAGACUUCUGAAUCCAGGAAGAGAAACUGACUGGGCAACAUGUUAUUCAGAAACAGGACCUUGCCCUGUCACUCAGGAUGGAGUUCAGUGGUCCUAUCAUGGCUCAUUAUAGCCUCAAACUCCCAGGCUCAAGCAAUCCUACCAUGUCAGCCUUCCCAGUAGCUGGGACUACAGCUGGAUCUACCAUGAAAGACUUGUGAAUCCAGGAAGAGAGACUGACUGGGCAACAUGUUAUUCAGGUGGGAACAUCCAGUUGCAGGAAAACAAGCUUAACACGCCCACUGAUUCUACAUUAUGGGUCUCCCUCUGUUGUCCAAGGCUGGAGUGUAGUAGUGCUAUCGCAGCUGACUGCAGCCUCAACCUUCCAGGCUGAAGCGAUCCUCCCACCUCAACCUCCCACGUGGCUGAGACUACAGGUGCUUGCCACUAUGCCCAACUAACAUUUGGAAUUUUCGUAUACGUGGAUUCUAGAGGGGUGACAGCGAAACGUGGGACCAUCCAGUUGCAGGAAAACAAGCUUGACACGCCCACUAAUUCUACAUUAUGGUGAGUUCUAUAAUUAUUUUA
rnacentral:lncRNA from 1 species